rnacentral:rRNA from 1 species
AUUGAACGCUGGCGGCAGGCCUAACACAUGCAAGUCGAACGGUAACAGGGAUCAGCUUGCUGAUUCGCUGACGAGUGGCGGACGGGUGAGUAAUGUCUGGGAAACUGCCUGAUGGAGGGGGAUAACUACUGGAAACGGUAGCUAAUACCGCAUAACGUCGCAAGACCAAAGAGGGGGACCUUCGGGCCUCUUGCCAUCGGAUGUGCCCAGAUGGGAUUAGCUAGUAGGUGGGGUAACGGCUCACCUAGGCGACGAUCCCUAGCUGGUCUGAGAGGAUGACCAGCCACACUGGAACUGAGACACGGUCCAGACUCCUACGGGAGGCAGCAGUGGGGAAUAUUGCACAAUGGGCGCAAGCCUGAUGCAGCCAUGCCGCGUGUAUGAAGAAGGCCUUCGGGUUGUAAAGUACUUUCAGCGGGGAGGAAGGGAGUAAAGUUAAUACCUUUACUCAUUGACGUUACCCGCAGAAGAAGCACCGGCUAACUCCGUG